CCCUCACCACGUGAUCGGGCUCGUAGCGCUGGGGCCGCCGAGACUUGUAGUUCUUGUCCCUCUGACGGUCGGCCCGGGUAGCUCCAGAAAAACUACAAAUCCCAGAAGAAACUAAAUCCAGGCGACGCCAGCCCCGCUUGUUGACGGAGCCCAAGGCGCCUGCGUAUCCGGGAGAGGGCGGGGCGGAGAGAGCCGCGGCGCGGUGCCUCCUGGGAGUCGUAGUCCGCAGACCGCGAGUUGUCAGGAGGUUUUCCUCCCGAGGUUGCAGAGGAGGCUGCUGGGAAGACAGGACACGUGGAGGGAGCUGGAGCUCCUGGAGCCGGCCACCGUCUGCGCGCUGGGCGCCGGGCCCAGGGGACUGGGUGGAAGCUCUAGGGGAGUAGCUGACUGUCUAAAUAACGCUGCCUGUCUUUGGUGCGACCGGUUUUACUUUGCAGUCUUGAUGUGGAGUGGUUUCGCUUUGCGUCUUGGGGCGUAACCCGCCCAGGAGGGAAUCCGGCUGCGGCGGACCAGGGGGCACGGCUCCGGAUACCCGCGCGAACCCUCGGGAGCUGGUGAGGAGGUGUCAGUGGCAGGUGUUUCGUGGAGUUACCGGACAGGCAGGAUGACCGACCUCGCCGGGCGACCGCUCAUAGCCGCAAGAAUCCUGUAUUCAUUUAUCCGAGAGUGACCAUCCUCGACACUCCGCUACUCACGUGAGCUUCCAGCAUUCACAGAACCCGAACCCUCAACCACCGUGGACUUGGAAGUAAAACCCCUUCAGAGUUUGUUGUGUAGCCCAGGCAGUUUAGGCAAUAUCCCAGCUCAAGUACCAUAAUUAAGAUUGCAAAAAGGAUCAAUAUGGGAAACUUGUGCAGCUCCCUGUCCAGUUAAAAUCAUAUUUACAUACUGUGGAGUAAAAUGUAGUCACAUCCAUUCCACCAAUAUUUAUUGAACACCUAACAUGUGCCACAAGGGGAUGCCAUAACGGAUAAGACCAGAACGAUCCCUGCCUUAGUGUGGUUCACAGCUAUGCAAGCAAACCUGACUGCCCUGCCGCCAUUUUAGGAGUGCAACAAGUCCCAUGGGAAGAAAAAAAAAAAAAGACACUUUCCACCCUGAGACAAAGUACCCGUACUACUCCUUUACAUCUGAUCUCCAAAAUGAAUGACAUUUUGAGCUUUUCCAUGAGUUACUGAUUCCCGGAUGAAAAUUAUAUUAUCCCUGACUUUUGAAUGUGGAAAUUUGGGGAUAUGUCGCACACAAUUCUUGGGACAUACAUUCCUUUUGAACUUACCUUUUCUACGUGUUCCUUUCCUGCUGAGUUGGGGAGACAGACAUAAGCAGACCAUUAUGUGAUAAGGGCUGAUGACAGACGGCCACUCUUGAGGGGCAAAGUCAUGCUCUGUCGCCCAGGCUGGAGUGCAGUGGCUCCAUCUCAGCUCACUGCAACCUCCGUCUCCUGGGUUCAAGCGAUUCUGCUGCCUCGGUCUCCCGAGUAGCUGGGAUUACAGGCUGGAGUGCAGUGGUGCCAUCCUGGCUCACUGCAACCUUCACCUCCCAUGUUCAAGCGAUUCUGCCUCAGCCUCCGGAGUAGCUGGGACUACAGACUGCAGAGAUAAAUAUUAUUCACACCUAGAAGUACCUGUAAACAUAUAAUGAAGAUUGUUUCACCUUUGCCAGGGAGCUAGGAAGAGCUUCCCUACCUGGAGAGAAGAGCAACCGAUCCUGGAGCUGAUGGAUUAAAAAGGAAGCUGUUGAUUCAGGAAAGUCAUAUCCCAAAACUCAUUACACCUGCAGAAAAAGGAAGACAUUUAGAAUCACGACUCAUAGAAGCAUAUGUUAUUCAGUGUCAGGCCAAAGCUCAAGAAGUAACAAUUGCUUGAGCAAUUGAACUAAAACAUGCUCCUGGACUAAUUGCUGCACCGGCGUAUGAAACAGCCAAUUUCUAUAAAAAAGCUGGUAAGCUGCUAAUUCUGUUGUUACAUUUUUAGUCUUCAGUUUUUCAGAUUUAUUUGAUCUUUAAUUAAUGGGGACAAAACAAGAUUUCUCAGAUUCUGUCAUUAUUUGCAAAAUUGGAGUAAUAUAUAUUAUUUACCGCAUUUAAAAUAGAACCGUUCAUAUUUAAUAUGCUGCAUAACUUCUAAUGGAAGAGAAAACCAGUGAUGUCUAAUAAAAUUAUACGGUGUUUGGCUUAAAAUUUUCUUUUGGUCUUUAUAACAACCUUAUAAAGAAUCUGAAAUCCACAGAGUUAACAUGACUAACCCAUAAUUUAACUGCUAGAAAGUGGGAGACUGGGCCUAGAACACACUCCUGUGAUAAGCCUGUUAACUCUUCAUUCACUUAUUUAGGAAACAUGCAAAUUUUUUUUUAUGAGAUGGUUACUAUUUUUGUUGCUAAGAAGAGGCAAGUAGAAAGGAUUUGCAGUUUAGGGAAGGAGACAAACAUGUAACCCCAUUAUUAUAUCCUGAAGUAAGAUAUCACAGCAGUGAAUUAGAAAUCUUAACAAGCUGGGCAUCCUAGAGAAGGACUCUAGAAGAAGAUGCUUUAGCCUUAUUGUGAAGUGUAAAUAAAAGUCUUAUGUUCCCUAGGAAGCUUUCGAGUUUGGGUGUAGAAUUCUUUAGUAAGUACAAAAAUAAGAAAUAACUUAGUGCAUUCUGGAAACUUCAGACAGUUGCUCUUACCUGAAACACAGGAUGAGUAGUAGGAGAAAAGAUUGAAAAAGUAUGCAUGGUUGGGAUCAAACAUUGGUUUGUAAGCCUUUGACCUUUCAUUCUAUAGAUAUUUGGGACCUGUUAAA